GAGCCAAAGUUGAGUGAGAGAAGACCAAAUUUGCACAUAACAUAUGGGAAAUGUAAUCAAUAAAUCAAGCUGAAAGUCGUGGGGUCUCCCAAAUUGGAAAACAAAAGUAAUAUCAAUCAAGGUUUGAGCAAACUAGCAACAAAAGGGAAAGAGGGUCAUAUUGAUAUUCGACAGAGAAUGGUAAGGGUCAACAUAAACUUUCAAAUUUGGGCGUGCACAAUAAAUUAUUACAACAUUAGAAUCUCAUAUCCAAAUAGGAUUUUUACAGAAAAUCCACAAAAACACUUUAUUAGGGCGAUUCAGAUAAAAGAAACCAUUUUACACCAAUUUAAGCACAAACACUAUACUUUUGAAUUUGUGUGGACAGCAUACAAUUACAAUCAGGUACAUUAUCUACUAGAAUCAAUAAGGAAAANNNNN
rnacentral:lncRNA from 1 species